UAUGUUUGAAAUCUCAGAGACACACUUAUACUAUUCUAAUAGGACCUUUGUAUAGUAUAAGUGUGUCUCUGAGAUUUCGGGCAUAGG
rnacentral:pre_miRNA from 1 species